ensembl:lncRNA
UCAUUUUGUACCUGUUUCCUCCAGCAUCUUCACAAGGUCCUUUGCUGUUCUGGGAUUGAUUUGCACUUUUCGAAACCAAAGUGAACGUGGUACCUUCAGGCAUUUGGAAAUUGCUCCCAAGGAUGAACCAGACUUGUGGAGGUCUACAAUUUAUUUUCUGAGGUAUUGGCUGAUUUUCUUUGGAUUUUCCCAUGAUGUCAAGCAAAGAGGCACUGAGUUUGAAGGUAGGCCUUGCAAUACAUCUACAGGUAUACCUCCAAUUGACUCAAAUUAGACUCACAUCAAAAGACUCACAUCAUUUUCUGGAAUUUUCCAAGCUGUUUGAAGGCACAGUCAACUUAGU